AUACAGAGGGUGCGAGAGUUAAUCGGAAUUACUGGGCGUAAAGCGCGCGUAGGCGGCUUGGUCAGUCGGAUGUGAAAGCCCUGUGCUCAACCUGGGAAUUGCAUUCGAUACUGCCAAGCUAGAGUAUGGGAGAGGGAAGUGGAAUUUCCGGUGUAGCUGUGAAAUGCGUAGAUAUCGGAAAGAACACCAGUGGCGAAGGCGACUUCCUGGCCCAAUACUGACGCUGAGGUGCGAAAGCGUGGGGAGCGAACAGGAUUAGAAACCCCAGUAGUCC
rnacentral:rRNA from 1 species